AUUGAACGCUGGCGGAAUGCUUUACACAUGCAAGUCGAACGGCAGCACGGGGCAACCUGGUGGCGAGUGGCGAACGGGUGAGUAAUAUAUCGGAACGUGCCCAAUCGUGGGGGAUAACGUAGCGAAAGUUACGCUAAUACCGCAUACGAUCUACGGAUGAAAGCGGGGGAUCGCAAGACCUCGCGCGAAUGGAGCGGCCGAUAUCAGAUUAGGUAGUUGGUGGGGUAAAGGCUCACCAAGCCAACGAUCUGUAGCUGGUCUGAGAGGACGACCAGCCACACUGGAACUGAGACACGGUCCAGACUCCUACGGGAGGCAGCAGUGGGGAAUUUUGGACAAUGGGCGCAAGCCUGAUCCAGCCAUUCCGCGUGCAGGAUGAAGGCCUUCGGUUGUAAACUGCUUUGUACGGACGAAACGGUCUGCCCUAAUACGGCAGGCUAAUGACGGUACCGUAAGAAUAAGCACCGGCUAACUACGUGCCAGCAGCCGCGGUAAAACGU
rnacentral:rRNA from 1 species